rnacentral:rRNA from 1 species
GACGAACGCUGGCGGCGUGCUUAACACAUGCAAGUCGAACGGAAAGGCCCUGCUUUUGUGGGGUGCUCGAGUGGCGAACGGGUGAGUAACACGUGAGUAACCUGCCCUUGACUUUGGGAUAACUUCAGGAAACUGGGGCUAAUACCGGAUAGGAGCUCCUGCUGCAUGGUGGGGGUUGGAAAGUUUCGGCGGUUGGGGAUGGACUCGCGGCUUAUCAGCUUGUUGGUGGGGUAGUGGCUUACCAAGGCUUUGACGGGUAGCCGGCCUGAGAGGGUGACCGGCGACAUUGGGACUGAGAUACGGACCAGACUCCUACGGGAGGCAGCAGUGGGGAAUAUUGCACAAUGGGCGGAAGCCUGAUGCAGCAACGCCGCGUGCGGGAUGACGGCCUUCGGGUUGUAAACAGCUUUGGACUGUGACGAAGAGUGAGUGACGGUAAUGGGUAAAGAAGCACCGGCUAACUACGUG